rnacentral:rRNA from 1 species
GGCUUGUUGAUUAUAAUUUCAAGUCUGACCUGCCCAUUGAGGAUUUAAAUGGCCGCGGUAUUUUGACCGUGCAAAGGUAGCAUAAUCAUUAGUUUUUUAAUUGGAAGCUUGUAUGAAAGGUUAGAUGAAAAAAAGGCUGUCUCUAUAAAAAUUUAGUAGAAUUUUAUUUUUAAGUAAAAAAGCUUAGAUUUAUAUAGAAGACGAGAAGACCCUGUAGAGUUUUAUGUUUUAAUAAUAAAUGUAUUGGAGGAUUGUACUAUGUGUUUAUAUUAAAAUGUUUUGUUGGGGUGAUAGAAAAAUUUAUUAAACUUUUUUUUUAUGGUUACAUUUAUUUAUGGGUUUAGGAUCCUGAAUUUUAGAUUGUAAGAUAAAAUUACCUCAGGGAUAACAGCGUAAUUUUUUUUAGAGUUCUUAUCGAAAGAAAAGUUUGCGACCUCGAUGUUGGAUUAAAAUAAAUUGUUGGCGAAGAAGUUAAUGAAUUGGGUCUGUUCGACCUUUAAAAUUUUACAUGAUCUGAGUUUAAACCGGUGUAAA